GCUCAGUUGCUAGAGUACAAAGCUCUUAACCUUGUGGACGUGGGUUCAAGCCCCAU
rnacentral:tRNA from 1 species